AAUCAUGCGGUUAUCACAACAAGUACCAAAUCAUGUGAAAAAUGAGAAUCAAGAGGUCUUUCAAAGGUUGUAAUGUGGCUUAGGUUACAAGAAAGGAUAUGAUUAAGAGACUUUACAAAGUUGCCUAUCCUAAGGGAGCAUUCCCAAACAUUCAACUCUACACAAUUUCCUUUUCCUUGGUCCCUAUCUUUUUCUUUUUCUUUUUCUUUUCUUUUCAACUCCACACAACCAUGAGCAUUUUCUUUGCUUUUCUUUUUCUAAUCUUUUUUUUUUUUAUGCUCUAUGGUUUCAAUGGUAUUUUCUUUUUCUUUUUUCUUUUCAAAUUUUCACCCUUUCAUAAAAAUUCACUUUUCCAAGUUUCUAAUCAACUUUUCACUUUACUCUCCCCACCUUUAGCUUCCAAAACCAAAUCUAUUCAAUAAUGCUCCCUACUUAGACAUAAGCAAAAGGCAAAAUUUUCAACAACUCGAUUUAAGGUUUAAAUUGACACGAAAGAAAUUAGGAUUCAUUUAUUCCACAAUUUUCAAUUGAUUUU
rnacentral:lncRNA from 1 species